rnacentral:rRNA from 1 species
CCUACGGGGGGCAGCAGUAGGGAAUAUUGCUCAAUGGGGGAAACCCUGAAGCAGCAACGCCGCGUGGAGGAUGAAGGUUUUCGGAUUGUAAACUCCUUUUGUUAGAGAAGAUAAUGACGGUAUCUAACGAAUAAGCACCGGCUAACUCCGUGCCAGCAGCCGCGGUAAUACGGAGGGCGCAAGCGUUACUCGGAAUCACUGGGCGUAAAGAGCGCGUAGGCGGGAUAGCAAGUCAGAAGUGAAAGCCUAGGGCUUAACCAUAGAACUGCAUUUGAAACUGUUAUUCUAGAGUAUGGGAGAGGAAGGGAGAAUUCUUGGUGUAGGGGUAAAAUCCGUAGAGAUCAAGAGGAAUACUCAUUGCGAAGGCGACCUGCUGGAACAUAACUGACGCUGACGCGCGAAAGCGUGGGGAGCAAACAGGAUUAGAUACCCCAGUAGUC